rnacentral:rRNA from 1 species
CCUACGGGAGGCUGCAGUGAGGAAUAUUGGUCAAUGGGCGGGAGCCUGAACCAGCCAAGUCGCGUGAGGGACGACGGUCCUAUGGAUUGUAAACCUCUUUUGUCGGGGAACAAAGGCGCCCACGGGUGGGCGGAUGAGUGUACCCGAAGAAAAAGCAUAGGCUAACUCCGUGCACGCAGCCGCGGUAAUACGGAGGAUGCGAGCGUUAUCCGGAUUUGUUGGGUGUAAAGGGUGCGUAGGCGGACCGUCAAGUCAGAGGUAAAAAUGCGGUGCUCAACGCCGUACAGCCGUUGAAACUGGCAGGCUUGAGUGGGCGAGAGGUGUGCGGAAUUCGUGGUGUAGCGGUGAAAUGCAUAGAUAUCACGCAGAACUCCGAUUGCGAAGGCAGCAUACCGGCGCCCGACUGACGCUGAGGCACGAAAGCGUGGGUAUCGAACAGGAUUAGAUACCCGUGUAGUC